UCGAUUUAAAUGAUGUUGAGAGAGUCUCC
rnacentral:piRNA from 1 species